GUUCCUGGAGGAGAUCACCCAGCUCGUCAUGCUAGAGCACUUUUUCAAUGGGCUCCCCAACAACUAGGCGACGACACAUCCAUACCAACUUUCGAUGCCACUUUCUGCGCCUACCAUGGUGACCACGGGUAACGGGAAAUCAGGGUUCGAUUCCGGAGAGGGAGACUGAGAAAUGGCUACCACAUGCAAGGAAGGCA